rnacentral:tRNA from 1 species
GUCCCCUUCGUCUAGCUCGGCCCAGGACAGCGGCUUUUCACGCCGUCAACAGGGGUUCGAAUCCCCUAGGGGACGCCA